rnacentral:rRNA from 1 species
UACGUAGGGUGCAAGCGUUGUCCGGAAUUAUUGGGCGUAAAGAGCUCGUAGGCGGUCUGUUGCGUCGGCUGUGAAAUCCCGAGGCUCAACCUCGGGUCUGCAGUCGAUACGAGCAGACUAGAGUGUUGCAGGGGAGACUGGAAUUCCUGGUGUAGCGGUGAAAUGCGCAGAUAUCAGGAGGAACACCGGUGGCGAAGGCGGGUCUCUGGGCAACAACUGACGCUGAGGAGCGAAAGCGUGGGGAGCGAACAGG